UGUCACGAUGAGGGCUCUGCCCAUACCUGUCCUGGAGGUAGCAAAGAAAGAGACAUCCUCCUGCCAAGGAGGCAGCUCAGACACCAGGCAUCCAACACGCAUUCAGUGCAUCAGAAACCCUGGCAUGAAUAGGAGUAUUUUUGAAGAAUUGAAACAAAACCAACUGUAGCAGCUUUCAUUGGGUUUUAGCUCAAUCUGCACACUAUUAACCUACAGAUACUCCUUCUCCAUCAGCAUUUCUAUUUGGAAGCAGCCAAGAAAUUAAAGGAUCCACGCCUCUGAGAAAGCUCAGACCACUCUCAAUUUGUGAGCAAACAGAACAGGCAGAAUUGGAAUUCCAGAGGUGGACGAUCAGAAGUGAACUCGGCGCAGAUGUUUUAUUGAGUCAUGCAGACAUUUUAUAAAUCAGCCAAGGCAAAAUUAUUGUUAAGAAAGCAAUUUUAAACCAAAAUAAAGGCUGUAGAAGCCAACCUAGUCAGAGCCUUAAAGAAAAACUCAGAGGCUGGAACACAGGGUUUUGGCUGCUGCCCACGACCAGAGUCCUGCCGUGAGAGCAGCCAAGGACCACCCGACCGCUGGAACACCUACAGGGGACAGCCACAAUCCCACCCAACAAGUCCCCAGACACACGCAUGUCACUGCAAGAUCCCCUCUCCUUCUGCCGUGCCCCGGCACUCAGGCUCCUGUCCUGCAGCUGACAAACUGGGUCAGGGUAAUCUCCAGCAAUCCAGCUAAGCCAGCUUUCUGCCCGCUCUGCAUUUUCAGUAGCAAUGCAGAGCAGAUGCAACGGGGGUCAGGAUCUGGCCCCCCACACGCAUAGUUUUAAAGACUACAUUCAGCAGAAGCUAUUGCGAGGAGGAAGAAUUGCUGAGCCCAAGUCAUUCCUCUGACCUUGAAUGCUUUAAAACAUAAUAUUUGGCUGGCUACAGAAAACACGUGGCAGAACCUUCAUGUUUCUGGCAGGUUUGUCCAACAACACAAAAAAAGAAGAAAAAUAAUUGAGCUUUUAUUCCACCUCUCUGCUACGCACAUCCCUGCAGCCACAUAAGCUGCUCUCACUUGAAUUUUAAGAGCUGAAUACAUCUGAUAACUGUAUUUGCUCAGCAGAAAUGCCAACAAGGUCCCAAUCGAAAACAAACACCGCAGUCUGCAGGUUUGGGGCAAACAGGAAAGUGCCCCCAUUAAAAGUUCAUGCUCAGAGUGAAAUCGGAAGGGUCAAAAUGAUCAGUUAUUUAAAAAAUACAAAAAGGUUCAGGACAGACUUCAGUAGCACAAAACAUUCACCCAGUAAUU